UACGGAGGGUGCAAGCGUUAUCCGGAUUCACUGGGUUUAAAGGGUGCGUAGGCGGGCAGGUAAGUCAGUGGUGAAAUCUCCGAGCUUAACUCGGAAACUGCCAUUGAUACUAUUUGUCUUGAAUAUUGUGGAGGUAAGCGGAAUAUGUCAUGUAGCGGUGAAAUGCUUAGAUAUGACAUAGAACACCAAUUGCGAAGGCGGCUUACUACACAAUGAUUGACGCUGAGGCACGAAAGCGUGGGGAGCAAACAGG
rnacentral:rRNA from 1 species